rnacentral:rRNA from 1 species
GACGAACGCUGGCGGCGUGCUUAACACAUGCAAGUCGAACGGAAAGGCCCUGCUUUUGUGGGGUGCUCGAGUGGCGAACGGGUGAGUAACACGUGAGUAACCUGCCCUUGACUUUGGGAUAACUUCAGGAAACUGGGGCUAAUACCGGAUAGGAGCUCCUGCUGCAUGGUGGGGGUUGGAAAGUUUCGGCGGUUGGGGAUGGACUCGCGGCUUAUCAGCUUGUUGGUGGGGUAGUGGCUUACCAAGGCUUUGACGGGUAGCCGGCCUGAGAGGGGGACCGGCCACAUUGGGCCUGAGAUACGGCCCAGACUCCUACGGGAGGCAGCAGUGGGGAAUAUUGCACAAUGGGCGGAAGCCUGAUGCAGAAACGCCGCGUGCGGGAUGACGGCCUUCGGGUUGUAAACCGCUUUCGCCUGUGACGAAGCGUGAGUGACGGUAAUGGGUAAAGAAGCACCGGCUAACUACGUG